AGCAGUUCUGCUGUGUCCCAAGAUGCUCUUCUGCAUUCAAUAGGUCAUCCUCUACUGAUGAGAUUCUUCAUGGUGCUUGUAAAGGAGACAUGCAUAAGAGAACAUGCUGGGUUGGCAGCUUAUAAACACUGAUGAUGCAGAGGCUGAAAUGACCAAGAUCAAAAUUCAUCCAAUUUUGGCAUCUGGAGAAAGCCAGAACAAUUUGUAUAAUAAAACAUUUCUAAAAGUCAAA